rnacentral:lncRNA from 1 species
UGCUGUGUUGUUAUAGUAUAAUUCUUUCUCAUAUGGGUAAUGUUAAUUGACAUCUUAAAUUUAUUUUUGCAAUUGAACAAUUGGUCCCAUUCUAGUGUGCUUCACAGGUCACAAUAUCAUGUUAUCUUUAUAGGGAACCUCUUUGGUUCUUAUAGUUCAUUGGAGAUCAUUCGACACUGAUUCAAUGGAUAUCAGUCCUAAAGUAAUGUGACUGACUAAAUCUAGCUAAAGUAACAACAGAGUUUGAGUGCACAAACAUAAAAUUGUAUGAACUUUCAUGUCUCAAAACAUCUGACUAAACUAUUACAUUCUUUUAGAGUUCCUGAACAAAAAUUCCUCCAUUAAUCUUUGACAUCUACGAUAGUUUUGUCAAUUUUCAAAAGCUUCACCUCCAAAUUUCAAAAUCACCAUCCACAGAUGCAGUUCUAUCAAUCUACUACCCUUGCAAAAAAAACAGUCCAAUGGCCAAUGAUUAAAAAAUAAUAAUCAAUGUACACAAACUAAUGAAAACUAACCUCAUAGAGUUUAAGUUAUAAUUAAAACUUUUUCCAAUUGUUAUACUAUAAACUGAUUCCAUCUAUAGGCUACUAGUGGCUUGUGGGAAGUUAUACUGUAAACUUUUUCAAUGGUAUCUAAUUUGUAAACAAAUGAAUUAGGAUGAAAAUCAACCACCAAAGUUUUAAUUUAAGACAUUUACUUCAUUACCUGGCAUAUAGUGUGUAUGUUGAACAACUAGAGACAUCACCCCUUGUGGGUCAAGGACUAGAUGGUCAUCUGUUACUGCAGCCUGACUAAUAGCUGUUAUGGUUCCAAAAACAGCAGCAUACCAAAACAAAUUGCCACCAAAAAUCUAAAAUGUCAAAAGAUUACCUUGGUAAAUGUGAAGAACUCCAUUUUCCUACCUAAAUUAUCUGUUGAGAUUGAACAAGUUUAGUUUAGAGUUCCAGUUUCCUACUUACUGAUGCCUCAUUGGAUGUAUGGCUAUUCUUUCAAUAAAUACUCCCAUGUGCACUGUUCACAGUUCUAUUUGUGGAUUCCUCUUCAUGAUUCAUGAAUAUAAAUAAUGGAAAUCUUUAUCCUUCAGUUAAGUUAUUUCCUAGUAUACAGGGGAUAUAUGAUAUGAUAUAUAUUGUCAUAAUGAUAUAUAUAGUGCUCCCUACCACUUUCUCAUAAAUCUGAACCAAACAAAGUACAAAGAAAAAACACUAAUACUACCUCCAUCAUCAUGAUAAUCACUUGGUGCAAAUAUAUAAAUGCAGGUACAAAACCCACUACCAUAACCAUGAUCCCUUUAAGAAAAAAAAAUUCAUAACUCCACUGACAUUUCCCAUUUUAAUAGUACUGGUCCAAUAUUCCACAUACAUUCAAUGUUCAAAUAAAUCAUAAUGUAAUUUAAAACUAAAUCAAAGAUGGAAACUAAAACUUUUGGACUAUUCUGGAAGAGCCCAGAGACUAUUCAAGUUUUCUAAUCUUCCAAACAUAUACUCAACAUGGCAUCACAGAAAAAUUAGAAAGAAAAAGAAAAAAAAUCUAUUACGUACACAUACAUGAACACAUCCACAUAUAAUGAUAUGUAUAACUAGCAUAUUACAUUAUCUAUCUAAUAGUAAGUAAAUUCGAAAAAUUUAAAUUAUAGUAACAUAUUAUAUAAUUAUUAUUUAUAUGAUAAACUAAUUUUACAUGUUUAUAAUUUAAAUAUAAAAAAAUACACAUAUAUGAAUAAUCUAUUAAUGAGUCCAUGAGUAAUAUUUUUGUCAAUAAAUACAUCAAUUUUCCAAUUAACAAAUACAUCAAUUUCCAAUUAACAAAUAUAUUUUAUAUAAUUGUGUUGAUAAGGCAUUCAUACUCAUUGACCAAAUUGGCUAGUUUGAGGUAGCUGAAAGUCCGCAAUAUAUGGACUCCCCUAUAUAUAUUAUCCACAAGAUCACAACUCUACACGAACUAAUUAAUAGUAGUAGUAGCUCUUGGUUUGUUAAUAUUUCUGUUUUUUAAGAGAGACGAAAAGAAGAGAGCGAGAGGGGUGAAGAACAACAAUGGCGGGCGGAUCUCUUUUUGGAUAUCUUCCAAGCAUAUACUCAAUAGGGCAUCACAAAAAAAUUAGAAGGAAAAAAGAAAAACUAACUAUUACAUACACAUACAUGAACACAUCCACAGCGAGAUUUAGGUUUACCCAGCAAGGAUUUGGAGAGAAGCGGUUCCGAUUUGGAUAGAAGAGAGCAGCUAGAGCAUGGUUCCGAUUUGAACAAGAUGGCUCUGCUUUUUCUUUCUCAGUGUAGACGCGAUUUUGAUUUGGAGAGAAUAGAGAAGCUAUGGAGAGAAGAGAGAAGAGAGAAGAGAGAAGAGAGAAGAUAGGGCACGAUUUUGGGUUUUCUAAAAAACACGGAAGGUUUUGGGUUUUUAGAAAAAAC